rnacentral:rRNA from 1 species
UACGUAGGGUGCAAGCGUUGUCCGGAAUUAUUGGGCGUAAAGAGCUCGUAGGCGGUUUGUCGCGUCGGCUGUGAAAACCUAGGGCUCAACUCUGGGCUUGCAGUCGAUACGGGCAAACUAGAAUUCGGUAGGGGAGACUGGAAUUCCUGGUGUAGCGGUGAAAUGCGCAGAUAUCAGGAGGAAUACCGAUGGCGAAGGCAGGUCUCUGGGCUAUAACUGACGCUCAUGCACGAAAGCGUGGGGAGCAAACAGG